GACGAACGCUGGCGGCGUGCCUAACACAUGCAAGUCGAGCGAAUGAAGUUCCUUCGGGAACGGAUUUAGCGGCGGACGGGUGAGUAACACGUGGGCAACCUGCCUCAUAGAGGGGAAUAGCCUUCCGAAAGGGAGAUUAAUACCGCAUAAGAUUGUAGUACCGCAUGGUACAGCAAUUAAAGGAGCAAUCCGCUAUGAGAUGGGCCCGCGGCGCAUUAGCUAAUUGGUGAGGUAACGGCUCACCAAGGCGACGCUGCGUAGCCGACCUGAGAGGGUGAUCGGCCACAUUGGGACUGAGACACGGCCCAGACUCCUACGGGAGGCAGCAGUGGGGAAUAUUGCACAAUGGGGGAAACCCUGAUGCAGCAACGCCGCGUGAGUGAUGACGGCCUUCGGGUUGUAAAGCUCUGUCUUCAGGGACGAUAAUGACGGUACCUGAGGAGGAAGCCACGGCUAACUACGUGCCAGCCGCCGCAGUAA
rnacentral:rRNA from 1 species